UUUCCAGUGGCUCGGUUGGUAUAGCAUUGCGCUAAUAACGCAAAGAUCUUGGGUUCAAAUCCCAGGGUAAG